AGUGAACGCUGGCGGUAGGCCUAACACAUGCAAGUCGAACGGCAGCACAGUAAGAGCUUGCUCUUACGGGUGGCGAGUGGCGGACGGGUGAGGAAUACAUCGGAAUCUACUUUUUCGUGGGGGAUAACGUAGGGAAACUUACGCUAAUAGCGCAUACGACCUACGGGUGGAAGCAGGGGAUCUUCGGACCUUGCGCGAUUGAAUGAGCCGAUGUCGGAUUAGCUAGUUGGCGGGGUAAAGGCCCACCAAGGCGACGAUCCGUAGCUGGUCUGAGAGGAUGAUCAGCCACACUGGAACUGAGACACGGUCCAGACUCCUACGGGAGGCAGCAGUGGGGAAUCUUGCACAAUGGGCGCAAGCCUGAUCCAGCCAUGCCGCGUGGGUGAAGAAGGCCUUCGGAUUGUAAAGCCCUUUUGUUGGGAAAGAAAAGCAGCAGGUUAAUACCCCGCUGUUCUGACGGUACCCAAAGAAUAAGCCCCGGCUAACUUCGUG
rnacentral:rRNA from 1 species